GCAUUGGUGGUUCAAUGGUAAAAUUCUUGCCUUCCAUGCAGGAGACCCAGGUUAGAUUCCUGGCCAAUGCA
rnacentral:tRNA from 1 species